UAUUGGGUUAACCAGACCUGCUGGCCUCUGGGAUGGUAGCAGGGAAAAACAGGUUAAUCAGACCUGCUGGCCUCCGGGAAGGUAGCAGGGGACCUGCUUGCCUCCGGGAAGGUAGCAGGGAAAAACGGGUUAACCAGACCUGCCGGCCUCCGGGAAGGUAGCAGGGAAAAACGGGUUAACCAGACCUGCUGGCCUCCGGGAAGGUAGCAGGGGACCUGCUGGCCUCCGGGAAGGUAGCAGAGGAAAAAC